GGACCACGACAGUAAUUUAUCCCGUGGCUGAGGAAAUGGGCUGAAAAUUGGAGCCUAAGCCCGUAACGGCAAACCACCGUUUUGAAGGUAAAAAAAUUAGAAAAUGACUAGAGAUGCAAAAACGGGACUAACCGGACGAUCUUUAAUCUUAUGAUUUAAAAAUCCCUGCAGAAAGCAAGCAAACACAACAAUGGCAUUCGAGAUGCCAUACGAUCAAAUAAAAGAACUACAGAUCUCACUACGUAAAGAAGCAGGACUUGCAUCUUACGACCCAGAAGACCCUUCGCUUCCAAACUUACCCUCGCUUCAAGAUGCAAUUUCCGAGCUUGAACCUUCUCCUUCAUAUCUUCGAUGCAAGAGCUGCAAUGGAAGAUUGCUUAGAGGGGUUAAUUCUGUCAUUUGUGUUUUUUGUGGUAGACAACAGAAUAAGGAUGUCCCUCCUGACCCAAUUAAGUUUACUUCUACAUUUGGUUGCCGUUGGUUUUUUCACUCUCUUGAUUUAGAUGGAUCGGAGCUUGCGACACCUUCGGCAGAAGCAAAUGAGUCUAACAGAGGACAGAAUACACCAGAAAUUCAUAUUCCUUUGUCUGAUCUUUUAAAUUUAGAAAUAAGAUGGCCUUCUGAGCCUGAGGAAUUCGAGACUAGUGCUUUGGAAAAGAAACCAAUUCAGAUGCUGAAUUUUUCUGGAAUUGAUAUUGACAAUUAUUUUACUGAAUCUAAGUUAGAUUCUGUUUCUACAUCCGCUGAAGGACAAUUUACAUUGAAACAACAUGAGGAUGCUGCUGAAAAUAAUGCCUUUCAAGGUCAUGAAAAUCUUAGCUUGUUUGAAAGUGUUGAGCCUUCUGAGACAGCUGCAAGGUCCAAGAAAGAUGAAAGUGGUGACUCAUUUUCUGGUUGGGAGGCUGAUUUUCAGUCCUCUGGUGCUAAAACCCAACAUCAGAAAUCCAAUUUUCCUGAUCCAUUUGUGGGAUCUUCUUCAGUUGAUCUUUCUUCUCACAUGGAUGCUCUCUUUGGACCUGGAAGUAAUUUAUCUAAUGAGAAAACAAAAGAAAAUGUAACUUCUGCAUCCAACAUGAAUGACUGGUUUGAACGUGAUACAUCGAGUAAUGCUAAUGCUGGGGUAGCUUUCCAGAAUGAUCAAUUUGAAGUACCCGUAAGUGAUAAUCGUGACGGAACAGUAGGGAACACAGGUAAUUCGUCUUCUAUGAAUGUUGAUUGGGUUCAAGAUAAUCAGUGGCAAACCUCCAGCAGCAGUAGGAAGGCAACUGAUAAUGAUGAAAAUGAUGAUUCAUUUGACACUUGGAAAGAUUUUACAAGCUCAAGUAAUGUACAAGUUCCUUCUAAUAAUUCCUUGAAAGGGGAUAUACACACAGUGCCUUCUGUUGAGCAGGGAUCAGAAAUAAGCUUCUUCAGUGGAGCUGAUAACUCAAAAGAUAUUGAUUUUGGUAGCUUUUCACAGCCUGAUUUCUUUUCAGCAACUUUCAGCAAUCAAAAUGGUUCUGCAGAAAUGAGUACUAUGGUGCCAGAAAGUUCUGUUUCAGAUAGGACGGUUACCAUGGAUGGAACAGAUGGAUGGUUUGCUGAAGAAGCUGAAAAUAGCAAAAAUCUUUCUACUGGAAAUACAAAGUCAAAAGCCAGUGAUGUAGAGACUUUGAUGUCACAGAUGCAUGAUCUCUCCUUUAUGCUUGCAAGCGAUCUUUCAGUACCUCAAAAGAAAGAUCCACAAACAAUCAAUCCUUUUGGUAAUUAUAUAAUGGAUGAGGCGGCUUGUCUUUAUAUCUGGGUUUUCUUCACAGAAAAUUUGUCUUCCAAUUUGUGAUUGAAGAUCUGAUAACAAAAACUACUGCAGCUGUACUGUUGUGAUCUAGGCCCCCCUGCUGCUCUAAUGAACACCCUGUGCCCGAUCGUCUGUACUGUUGUGAUAUAGGCUCCCCUGCUGCUUCAGUGUUGGAAAAUAUCUGCUAUAAGUGCUGCAUCGUUUGUUCAUCAUCCUGGAAAGGAAAAUCACAGGAAACAAGAAAACAUUUCAGACUUGAUAAUGAAGUUGAUAGCUCGUGGAUCGUCAUCCUGCAGAAAAAGGAAAGAGAACUCGCGGAUGAAACUAUGAAAUUUUGGUAAUAAAACUAUGAAGUAAAAGAUUGCUAAAAGGGCAGCAAUGAGGUUGUCUAUACAUAAUACAAUCACACUUCUGAAAGCUUUAAUGUUCUCAAUUAGAAUGUAUGUUUGUUUUAACUCAAAAGUUAGAAUUAGUAAGCGUGAACCAGAAGUACCUUCACUAGAGCUGCAAUUACCCUCAAGCUGCUAAUUCUUACAUCACCAUGAUGCCUUUCCUCUGAUUUGACAUCAAGAAUGGGUUGGAGAUAUAAGGGCAUGUUAGCUGCAGAGGUUAAAUUUCUAUCAUAAAAAGUCUCCGCUAAUUCAAAUUAUCAACAUUGACAGGGAUAAACUUCGUUGCUCUUUUUACUGGCAGUCACUAUUUUGAAAGAUUAGAAUGAAAAGGAUUAUCACCUCUAACAAAAGGCAUCCUUGUGUCAGGGUGUGCUGCUAUCCACUGCAAAAAAAAAAAAGAAAAAAAGAAAAAGAGAAAAAUAGAAGACCCACAUCAGUUUCGUAUGCAGCAUACCAAAUUUAACCUAAGGGUGUUAUUCAGAUACAAACAGAUGAAAGAAAUUCUACCAAGUCUACCAAUGGCAUUAUUCUGCGAUGUUUACAAGAGUACUAGCUAAUGGGAGAGAUAUAUGCAUAGCAACUGUGGCAAUAUAUAUAUAUAUAUAUAUAAGAAGAAAAUUGAGAGGAAAAAGAAAAAAGAAACUGACCUCAAGUAAGUACAUUGCC